CAUUAGCCUAAUUACCAAGUUGUUAAUUGAGUUGCACGGUACUUCUUUCCAAUAUUUAUUUCUUCACAGAAGAAGGUCGUAUUCACUCAGAUUCGGGACAGCAAUGAUUUGUGCUCGUCUGCUGCGGGAGAAUGCGGAGACAUUACUUCAAUAAUAAGGAAUCUGGGUACUUCGAUACACAAAAUCGAGCCCUGUCGAGUCCUAGUUCUGCCUUUAUGCUGUUGGAUUUGGUCAAGGACAACUUCAUAAACGUUUUGCAGAUGAUUGUGAUCGGUGGUUCGAUCAAUUGGAUUAAGCGUCACUUAAUUCCGCCUGGGUUUUGUCAGCUUCGUGAUAUCUCCCGAAUGUGUUUGGCUGAGAAGUAAUUACACGCUGGAGAUGAUAAUGCCAUGGAUCAGACCCAAUCGAUGCAGGAUCAGAUGUCGAUAGUUUAGAUAGUUCAAUAAAUGAAUAAAUAUACAUACAAAAGCUCAAUAAGUUUAUAACAAUAUAUGCAUAAAGGUUGGGUUAACAUAACAUGUUUAGGGUAUAUGUUAAACCAACGUUGAACCGACUGCUUAUACUGGGUUAUACUGGCCGAUUUGACAUUUGUUUACCAUUGUUAUCGCGUAAUAUGUUUACUAAGUAUUGGUAAUAAAUUUACUGAGUAUUGGUAACAUUUACCAAAAAGCUCGUCAUAUAUACCAACUUUUUGGGAGAGUGUAUGAUCGGCGAUUAUGAUGAACUCGAGGAAUCGCUGUUUAUACAAAAAAGAGCGUGAAGU